CCAGACAAAGCAUUUGCACCUCCUACUACCUUAUUGGCUACUCAAAAUAAUUAUCGAAAUCACACAAUCAAUCCUCCAAAUUCGUUUGGACGAGGUCGAGGCAAGAACAAACAAAUUUUUAAGGACAUAGGUGUUGUUUCGAAUCAAAAUUGAGGAAGCUUCAAUUCAAAUUUCAAUCCAAGGCAUGGUCGAGGUUGUAACACUCAUGUUACCUCUGAUCUAUCUCAACUGGCCUCUGCCUCUGAAGACUUUGAAGAUGACAAUGUUGUUGCAGGACAAAUCUUCGGGCAAAAUACUCUUCUAAGGACCGGCCGUUAUUAUGUUUCAUUUAUUGAUGACCAUUCCAAAAUAUACUUGGUUGUAUCCUAUUACUUUAAAAUCAGAUCUUUUAUCUGUUUUUAAGUCCUUUAAAUUGCUGGUGGAGAAUUAUUUCAAUUCUCGUAUAAAAUUUUUUCGAACCGAUGGCAGAGGGGAAUUUGUCAACCACUCUUUGGGAGCUUUUCUUCAAAAAAUCAGGUAUCUUUCACCAAAAAUCAUGUGCCUAUACUCCACGGCACAACAAAAUGGUGUUGUUGAAAGGAAACAUCGCCAUAUCGUUGAAGUAGCUCUAACCUUAAUGCUUUCCUUACCUUUAAAAUUUUGGGCUUUUUCCUUUGCUAAUGCACUAUUUAUCAUUAAUCGAUUACCUUCACCUAAUUGUGACAAUAAGUCUCCUUUUGGACUUCUUCUCAAACGAUGUCCUGAUUAUACAUUUUUGAAGACUUUUGGUUGUGCAUGCUACCCACUCCUCAAGCCAUAUUCCUCUCACAAACUCGGACCAAAAUCCAUUCGAUGUGUUUUUCUUGGUUAUCCUCUAGAUAACGAAGGUUAUCUUUGUUACAACAUGAGUAAUGACCGUCUCUAUACCACACGACAUGUCAUCUUUGAUGAAACUUUUUUCUCUUUUUCGCAAACUUCAGAUUUUGCUUCAUGUUCUAAUAAGUCUAAUUCUUUAAAUUCCACAAAUUUGUCUCUUCUUCUUUUGCCUAUUGCAGAUACACCACAAUCUAAUGAACAUAUUGGUAAUUCCUUCUAUUGUGAAUGAGGAAGUUGGUUUGAAAAAUGCUACUAUUGUGAUUUCUUGUGUUCAUGAUAACUGCUUCUUAUGCUCUUGUCAUGGAAAAUUCUAGUGAUAUUAUAGACGCUAAUUCUACUAAUCACUCUAAUAUUGAAACCUCUGUUGGAGCAAAUUCUGAUGUUAAUACCUCUGCUGUUGGAGCUACUAGAAAUGUCAAUGAAAAUUUUGUUGAUGUUAAUAAUUGUCAAAAUACUCAUUCUAUGGAAACAAGAAAUCUGGAAUAUCUAAAAAGAAGCUCUUUGUUGCUCAUGUUCAGACCCCUUUAACUGAACACUCUUGUGUUACUAAAGCUAACAAAGUAAAAGAAUGACAGAAAGCAAUGCGUGAAGAGUUUGAAGCUUUGUUACAUCAAGAAACGUGGACUCUUACUUCUUUACCACUUGAUAAAAAGGCCAUUGGAUGUCAGUGGGUAUACAGAAUAAAGAGACAUCCUGAUGGGAUUGUUGCUCGGUGUAAAGCAAGAUUAGUUACCAAAGGAUAUCAUCAAUAAGAAGGUGUAGAUUAUGAUGAAACCUUCAGUCCUGUUAUUAAAAAACCAACUAUUCGUGUCAUAUUCUCCUUAGCAACUCAAUAUAAAUGGCAACUCCGUCAACUUGAUGUCAAUAACACUUUUCUCCAUGAAAAAUUUCAAGAGGAGGUUUAUAUGCAACAACCACAGGGUUUUAUUGACCCUUCUCAACCAACUAUUUUUUGCAAGUUACACAAAUCAUUGAAUAGUCUAAAAUAGGCAUCUCGUGCUUGGUUUGAUUGUUUCACUUCCUAACUAUUGACACUUGGUUUUGUAGCAUCUACAGCAUAUUCAACUCUCUUUGUUUGAAGUUAUAGUGGUUCUCUUACUUAUUUUCUUUUAUAUGUCGAUGACAUAAUUGUUACUAGAAAUGCUCUAAAUUAUAUGGAUGGUCUUAUCUCACAGUUGAAGCAACGAUUUGAAAUGACUGAUUUGAAUCUUUUACGUUAUUUCUUAGGACUGGAAAUAUCACAGAUUGAUAGAGGAAUAUUUGUCCAUCAAGCCAAGUAUACUAGAGAUGUUUUGCAGCAUUAUGGAUCAAAUUCAAUUUCAUGGGGAGAUAAAAAAAACAGUAUCUCGGAGCUCUACCAAAGCCGAAUAUCGAGCUUGAGCAUCUACAACUGCUAAAUUAAGUUGGCUUCGACAAGUUCUUAAGGAUCUUUAUUUUUUUGUUCUCAAGCACCUUUACUACUUUGUGACAAUGUUUCUACCAUACAGUUGUCUCAAAAUCCUGUUGUCAUGGUCGUACGAAGCGCAUGUUGAGAUAGAUUUUCAUUUUAUUCAAGAGUGUCUUGUUUGUUGAGACAUUGAUUUAUGGUAUAUUUCUACUGAAAAUCAGUUGGCAGGCUUGUUUACAAAGCCUCACACUGGUACUCAGCUUUUCAUUCCAAA